rnacentral:lncRNA from 1 species
UCUACAGAAAAAUUAAAAGUUAGCCAGACAUGGUGGCAUGUGCCUGUGUUCCUAGUUACUCAGGAGGCUAAGGUGGGAGGAUCGCUUGAGCCCAGGAACUUGAGGCUGCAGUGAUGGAAGGGGGUGAAGUCAGCCUGGAGGCACUGCCUGCUGAGGGUCUUGGCAGACAGUGGUGGCCAGAGGAAGGGGGGCUGCCCCUUGCUGUGUACC